GCCUGGGUGGCUCAGUCGGUUAAGCAUCUGACUUCAGCUCAGGUCAUGAUCUCACAUUCGGGGGUUGGAGCCCCUCAUCGGGUU
rnacentral:tRNA from 1 species